AUGGAUAUGAGGGCCCCUGCUCAGCUACUGGGACUCCUGCUGCUCUGGUUCCCAGGGGCCAGAUGUGACAUUCAGAUGACCCAGUCUCCAUCCUCCCUCUUGGCAUCUUCAGGAGACAGAGUCACCAUCACUUGCCAGGCAAGUCAGGGUAUUAACAAUGAGUUUUUCCAGUAUCGGCAGAAACUAGGAAAAACUCCUAAGCUCCUGAUCUAUGAUCCAACCAGAUUACACUCAGGGAUCCCAUCGUGGUUCAGUGGCAGGGGAUCGGGGACAGAUUUCAGUCUCACCAUCAGCAGCCUGAAGAUUUUGUAG